rnacentral:lncRNA from 1 species
UCUAACAGUGCGUGCUAAUAAUUAAUAAGAUGCAUUCAGAACUUCCCACGUAAGCAAAAUGUGUGGCUUGGGGAUGAAUAAGAGGCGGUGAAGGGGGAAGACAAUGAAAUUCACCUUAAAAUUUCAAGGAGAAAAUAAAAAUCUGAAGACUGUAUCACCAGCAUGGAAAAAAAAAUCCACCUUUCCAGAGCUCCUGUCUGUCUGCAUGACCUCUUUGGGAAAAGAAAAAGACCACAUCUCAGGAUAAAACAAAUGCCUAUUUCCACUCUAAUCCAGCUUUCCCCAUGUUCCAACAGCCCUACAUGGGACAGCUCCACAUGCAAACUCGCAUCCAGAUCCAAUAAUUGCCCUUUAAGAAGCUUAUCAUGCAUUGAAGAAUGUCAGCUUGACAAUCUGUAGGUGGCGAAUGGCAGCAUGUUGAUUUUCAAAUGAAGAAGCUGAGACAGAGAGUGCCAGUUGAGAUUGAAGCUGAAACCUCUAUGCUCAUCUUGGAAAGCCACUCACAUGUGCCCCAGGCCACCUUUCAAGAAACCCGAAGUACCAGCCACGUGGUACACAGCUUCCUGCAGUCUCCACCGCAGGUCCUCCUUCCAUCUCUAGGCCCAACUCGGAUGCCAUCUGUCUGUGGAAUGUUUCCAGCUGGAACGCAAUGUGUUACUUCUUAUGGCAGCAACGAUGUAACUCGAAACACCAUCAUCUAUGGAAAGCUUAGCACAAUUGGCCAAGAAAGUGCUUUUCUUUACAUUUACAUUCAAUACUGUCACCUGGAAACAAAAAUUUCCAAGUUGCUCCAGAAAAGUCCAGAAUGACAAGAAUGUCCGUCAGCUUGCCAACCACGGCUCUAAAGGGAUCUCCAUUUUCCUCUCACUCUUAAAUUCUUUGGUGACAAUAAAAAAAAAGCAGGAAGAUUUCUGUUUUCCA